AGUAAAAAGAAUGGGAAGUAGAGGAACUAUAUCAUUCACAGGCUGAAGCUGGAGUUCAGUUGGAGGAGACUGAAGUUUGGAAAAAUCAGCCAAAUUCAUCAGAAAUUCUAAGGCAAUUAAUACUUCAGUUCCUAGAAUGGGGUUCCCAAACUGUUGAUCUGAUCAAUUGUGCAAACAAAUAUUGUCUAGAAUAGUUAUCACAGCCUGAGUUAGCAA
rnacentral:lncRNA from 1 species